AUAUAUCAAACUCCUCUUGUUGAGUUGUUUGGAUGUGGGGGUUUUUGCUGGCCUGUUCAGCUCUCCUGAAAUGCAUUAGCAGAACAACCUGUUCAUUGGCGUGAUAACUAUCUAUGCUAUUGAAUGUGAAGGGAGGUUCAGCUUUCUAAUAGUCCCUUGGACAAAUUCAUUGUUA
rnacentral:misc_RNA from 1 species